GUAUGUGACCUUAAUCAACUAUUUUUCGUAAGGAAUGAAAUGCAGCUCAAAGCUGCACGGAAAAACUCUAGUGCGUUUGGAUUGAAAGUUGAUAAUUUCAAGCAAUUGGACAAUUUAGGAGUUAACAAGGACUUGGGAUAUUAAGAGAAAGCUCACAGGGUCAAAAUUUCUUGCCGGGUACCUCUAACAGCAAGCAGUACUGGGCCUGUAAAAAGAUUAAAGGAUUGUCACAAAUCUACAGUCUUCGAUGAACCGGACAUUCACAAAGUCUUGUGACCUGUUGGUCUGAAGUUUCUCAUUGCAUGGGCUAGACCUCUUCUCAGGUAAUUAAUAUUUGCAGAAAUAU